rnacentral:rRNA from 1 species
GUAGGGAAUAUUGGGCAAUGGAUGCAAGUCUGACCCAGCCAUGCCGCGUGGAGGAAGAAGGUCCUCUGGAUUGUAAACUCCUUUUUUGGGGGAAGAAUAGUUCUCUUGCGAGGGAAUGUGACGGUACCCUAAGAAUAAGCCACGGCUAACUACGUGCCAGCAGCCGCGGUAAUACGUAGGUGGCAAGCGUUGUCCGGAUUUAUUGGGUUUAAAGGGUGCGUAGGUGGUUUGAUAAGUCAGUGGUAAAAGCUGGUUGCUCAACAAUCAAGUUGCCAUUGAUACUGUCGGACUUGAGAGAAGUGGAGGUUCAUGGAAUGGAUGGUGUAGCGGUGAAAUGCAUAGAUAUCAUCCAGAACGUCGAUUGCGAAGGCAGUGGGCUGUACUUUAUCUGACACUGAGGCACGAAAGUGUGGGGAUCAAACAGGAUUAGAAACCCUAGUAGUCC